rnacentral:rRNA from 1 species
GUCCAGACUCCUACGGGAGGCAGCAGUGAGGAAUAUUGGUCAAUGGGCUUACGCCUGAACCAGCCAAGUCGCGUGAGGGAAGACUGCCCUAUGGGUUGUAAACCUCUUUUGUCAGGGAGCAAUUGGCGCUACGUGUAGCGUUAUCGAGAGUACCUGAAGAAAAAGCAUCGGCUAACUCCGUGCCAGCAGCCGCGGUAAUACGGAGGAUGCGAGCGUUAUCCGGAUUUACUGGGUGUAAAGGGAGCGUAGGCGGCAAGGUAAGCCAGAAGUGAAAGCCCGCGGCUCAACUGCGGGACUGCUUUUGGAACUAUCUAGCUAGAUUGCAGGAGAGGUAAGUGGAAUUCCUAGUGUAGCGGUGAAAUGCGUAGAUAUUAGGAGGAACACCAGUGGCGAAGGCGGCCUGCUGGACGAUGACUGACGUUGAGGCUCGAAAGCGUGGGGAGCAAACAGGAUUAGAUACCCCCGUAC